UGCUACAGGAUGAGAAGGAUUUUACACAAAGGAGACUAUUGCUGGCUUUGAGGUUGGAAGGGCUGCUCCACAAGGAAUGUGGGUAGCCUCUAGGAGCUGGGAAUGACCCGCAACUAAUAGCCAGCAGGAACUGAAUUCUGCCACAGCCAUAGGAGCUUAGAAGAGGACCCCAAGCUCCAGGUGAGAAGGCACAAAAUGAUUUUUCAUUAACCUUAUGCCAACCCUUCUCUAAUGACCCUUUCAUACGGCAGGGAUAGGCCCUAUUUUUGCCAGCUCUUGAAAUAGCGUUCCUUUCUUUUCUACAUACUUUCCAUAUCAGGCCUUCCAGUUCAAAGUCUGUAACAAUAAUCUUACUUUCCAAAUUAGAAAGGAAAAAAAUUAUACAGGCAGAAUAAGAAACAUAAAUUUUUCAUCUAGCAGAUUUCC